rnacentral:misc_RNA from 1 species
UUUCCGUAGGUGAACCUGCGGAAGGAUCAUUACUGAGUUGAGGGUCUAUAAGUGGCCCGACCUCCCAACCCUUUGUGAAUUCGACCCAGUUGCCUCGGGGGCGACCCGGCCUUCGGGCGUCGGGGCCCCCGGUGGACCACCCAACCCUGCAUCGUUGCGUCUGAGUCGAAAUAUAAAUCAAUCAAAACUUUCAACAACGGAUCUCUUGGUUCUGGCAUCGAUGAAGAACGCAGC